GACGAACGCUGGCGGCGUGCUUAACACAUGCAAGUCGAACGGUAAGGCCCUUCGGGGUACACGAGUGGCGAACGGGUGAGUGACGCGUGGGUGAUCUGCCCUGCACUUCGGGAUAAGCCUGGGAAACUGGGUCUAAUACCGGAUAGGACAACUGCCUGCAUGGGUGGGGGGGGAAAGCUUUUGCGGUGUGGGAUGGGCCCGCGGCCUAUCAGCUUGUUGGUGGGGUGAUGGCCUACCAAGGCGACGACGGGUAGCCGGCCUGAGAGGGUGACCGGCCACACUGGGACUGAGAUACGGCCCAGACUCCUACGGGAGGCAGCAGUGGGGAAUAUUGCACAAUGGGCGCAAGCCUGAUGCAGCGACGCCGCGUGAGGGAUGACGGCCUUCGGGUUGUAAACCUCUUUCAGCACCGACGAAGCGCAAGUGACGGUAGGUGCAGAAGAAGGACCGGCCAACUACGUGCCAGCAGCCGCAGUAA
rnacentral:rRNA from 1 species